UACAGAGGGUGCAAGCGUUAAUCGGAAUUACUGGGCGUAAAGCGUGCGUAGACGGUUAUGUAAGUCGGGUGUGAAAGCCCCGGGCUCAACCUGGGAAUUGCAUUCGAGACUGUGUAGCUAGGGUACGGAAGAGGGAUGCGGAAUUCCAGGUGUAGCGGUGAAAUGCGUAGAUAUCUGGAGGAACACCGGUGGCGAAGGCGGCAUCCUGGACCGAUACUGACGCUGAGGAGCGAAAGCCAGGGGAGCAAACGGG
rnacentral:rRNA from 1 species